CCGCCGCCUUCUCGCCGGUUACGGAUCGCUCUCCUCUUCCUUGCCCCAUUCUCUCCCCUGCGUUAUGGUUCUUGCUAGGGUUCUUGCCGGCGCUGCGGUGUGGUUCUUGAGGAACGCCAGAAGGUGGCCCAGGAGUGAGUGUGCGGUGAGGCCAUGGGUGGUGGGUUUAUUGGUCGUCAGGUUGUAGGAGAGGUCCCCCCAUGGGAGAGUGCGAUGGCUUGCAGUUUGGAGGAGGAACCAUUGUCGUUGACUCGAUCUGGUUGGGUAUUCUUGGCUUUGAUUCUCAUGGUCGAUCUACUCUCGAUUUAGUUCUUGCUCUAGGGUCCGGUAUCCAUGGCAUCUGCCGCACCACCACCAUCAUUGUUGCUGAAUUUUGAAACGCUUCCCCUGCAAAAAUGUCAUUUUUUUAUUGAGGUUAUGUACGAAGGUUAGUAGUACAUUUUGAUUCAAAUGUUCCAAUUUGGAUAAUCAUAACAACAAUUCUAUUCACUAUCGAGGAAUAUGCAUUUUACAAAUAUUGUCAUGGAACAAUUCGCAAGGCACCUCAAGUUUCUUUAAUUCGCAAGGUGUAAAAUAUGCUGUUCUAAACACCUACUUAAGUUAAUCUGCAAUGUGCUUAAGAUGUAUAUUCAAGCACAACUUAUUUGAUUUUUUUUUAAAUUUAUUUAGUUUGACCGACUCAGAAACCCCUGAAAAUAUACUUGUUCUUGUUAAGUUAAAUGGAUGCAUCUUAAGUGGCUUGGUCGAUGCAUCUUUAUAUUCAGCAUCGUGGAUUAAGUCAAACAGUGGCUUUUUCAACCUUCAGAUCUGAACAAUUCCCAACAAUCCUUAUUGGUUUUUAAGAAUCUUUGUAGAUGAACUGUACCCAUUUCAGUAACAGUAUUACACAUGUUCUUGGUUGUGUAUGUGUUACACUUGAAUGAGCAUAUUUCAGAUAUAGUAUAUCACUCUUUUUUAAUCCACGGCAGACAUGGAUAUGAUAAAAUCCAUGGCAGGCUUGUGAUUUUACUCUGUUAUUGAUAAGAUGCUAUCUCCUACAUGCUUGUGAGCCACUAAUUAGUCAAAUCUCGAGUAGUCAAUCCUUGUACAAGAUUUUUUCACGGCAUUAUGCUUGUAUACUUGUACAAGAUUUCAAGUAAAGUUCCUAAAAUUUACUGGCUGUCUAAAUUAUUUGUGCUUUUAUACUUGUAUACUUGUAUACCAUCUCGUUUCCUAAUUUCUGGUUACUUUGUGCUUUUAUUCAGAUUGUACCAACAGUUCCUAGAAUUGGUGAAGACGAGCCACCUCCAUCCUGGGACCUGAUUUUGACUCCGAAAGGAGGCUCCAAGGUCAAUACUCAAGCUGCUAGAAAGGCAUAGGACAAAACCAUGGUCUGAGUAUAAGUGGAUUUAUCAUGCUAUUUUAUCCCGCAUCGUCAUAAGUUACCUACCUAUUGGAUUUUGAGAAUGAGCCUUGUUAGUUUUGUUUAUUGGUUGCUUGGACAAUCUUUCAAACAUGACUCAAUAGGUCUCUUAUGUAAAGACUCGCACCUGGGUAUUUAUUUUCAGUUUAUUUGAGAGUAUACGGUGAAGAUUCAAAUA